UACGGAAUGUGCAAACGUUAUUCGGAAUCACUGGGCUUAAAGAGUCCGUAGGCGGCAUGUUAGGUGAGGUGUGAAAUCCCACGGCUCAACCGUGGAAUUGCGCUUCAAACCGGCGUGCUUGAGGAAGAUAGAGGUGGGCGGAACUGAUGGUGGAGCGGUGAAAUGCGUUGAUAUCAUCAGGAACACCGGAGGCGAAGGCGGCCCACUGGGUCUUUUCUGACGCUGAGGGACGAAAGCUAGGGGAGCGAACGGG
rnacentral:rRNA from 1 species